GGAUGAACGCUGGCGGCGUGCCUAAUACAUGCAAGUCGAGCGGACAGACGAGGAGCUUGCUCCUCUGACGUUAGCGGCGGACGGGUGAGUAACACGUGGAUAACCUACCUAUAAGACUGGGAUAACUUCGGGAAACCGGAGCUAAUACCGGAUAAUAUAUUGAACCGCAUGGUUCAAUAGUGAAAGACGGUUUUGCUGUCACUUAUAGAUGGAUCCGCGCCGCAUUAGCUAGUUGGUAAGGUAACGGCUUACCAAGGCAACGAUGCGUAGCCGACCUGAGAGGGUGAUCGGCCACACUGGAACUGAGACACGGUCCAGACUCCUACGGGAGGCAGCAGUAGGGAAUCUACCGCAAUGGGCGAAAGCCUGACGGAGCAACGCCGCGUGAGUGAUGAAGGUCUUCGGAUCGUAAAACUCUGUUAUUAGGGAAGAACAAAUGUGUAAGUAACUAUGCACGUCUUGACGGUACCUAAUCAGAAAGCCACGGCUAACUACGUG
rnacentral:rRNA from 1 species